AGACAAUGGUAGCAGGAACAGGACCCCAGGCCCAGACAGAAGGAGAUUUGGGCCUGGGGGUGAAGCACUGAAGGUCAAACUCCAGUUUUGGUGGUGAAUCUGGCCCCUGUUGUCACUGAUUUACAGCUCUUCUGUAUCUGCUUUACAGUGGCCAGUGAGAUUUAACUGGAUCCACUCCAUUGUAAAUGAUGGUCAUGCCAAGGAUGAAAAGCAGUGGAUGACUUCAGAUUUAUUCUUGACUGACUUUUUCUGACACCCAGAGGACUCAGGGCUGUUUGCCCUCAUCACCAGCAGUGUACCUGCCCAGCUUGGUGCCUGUCACACAGCCAUGGGCCAGGUCUGCAGCUCCACACUGGACUGUGGAGGUCCUUCCAUCAUCAUCUGGAAAUCCAGGAGAAUGUGGCGUGUAUGAAGACAUCCUGGACAGUCCUGUGAACCCAGCAAACCCCUGCCUGGUGUCACCAGCACAUCACUGCUGUGCCCAAAGCUGGGGUGCUGAAGGCAUCUACUGGUACAGGAUGCAAUUGUCACUGCGGUUGGCAGCCAAUCAAAGCGCCGUGAGUGGGAGCCCGCUGGUACUUUCCAAUGGUCCUUGAUUAAAAAGGAAGCUCUUGGCUAUCUUCAAGCAGCAGGAGAGGAAGCAGCACGGAAAAGUUCCUUUCACCGCCACGAACUGGGAGAUGACAAAUGACUUUGUGAAGGGGUAAGAGGAAGAGCUUCUGCAGUGACAUUUAAAUUUGAACCCAUGCUUGAUGGCAUGCAGAUGAUUUAAAUGCGUGUCACCAACGCACAGCUCUAAAAGUGGAUUUUAAAAAUGCUUUUACUUCCUUUACUGCUGCUUUAACCUGCAUCUGGAGAGCCCUACGAGCCAAUGGAGCAACUGCAAAUAAGCUGCAAUUGUUGUCUUUCAAAGCUUUUUCCUGUGCCCCUCAGGUGAGCUGCGUUGGGGGGGCUGUAAACAAUGAUUAUAAUGAGAACUCUUACUAUGCAGACAGAGCUGGCAGUGCUAAAGUCACCUCACAGGGCACACUCCUGACCCUGCCUCCAGGUUUGCUGUUCAGCAGGGGGUCACAGCCUGACAAACUCCCACAAUUCACAACUCCACAUCCACUGCCAGCAAGAGUGUUCAUCCCUUCUCUGACCACAUCCCGGGGGCAGAGCUGGGGUCACCCUCACAGUGAAUGAUCUUCUGCGAUCAGCACGUGCCUAAUCCCUGUGCUUGACCUUCUCCUAUUGUCCUCACAAAGGUCUCCAUCCUUCUCCAGCUGCUAUCAUGCCCAAAUCCAGCAGUGCUGUGUUAAUAUCCUCUCUUUUCUUGUUAGGAGCUGGAUUGAAUUAAAUUCAAGCAUAGAAGCACCGCUGACAUUUGGGAACGUUUGGAUCUCUACCAGCCCGUGAUUGCUUGUGCCCCAUUUGAUUUACUGGUGAGGCAGAGGGAGGUGUGUUAAUGCCAUUACUCACUAGCAGAGCCAAAACCAAGCUCUUGAGAUGUGAAGGAUCUCCAAAUCCAGGGCUAUCGACGCAUAAUUGGCGUGAAAACCCCCAAGAUCCCUUGUGGUUUAUUACGUGCUGAGCCACUGUGGGUUUAGCAGAUUUGCAGACUCUAUUAAACAACCUCUAUUAAAUAAAGACAAACUCAAUGAUUAAA